rfam:Echinostoma caproni strain Egypt genome assembly, scaffold: ECPE_scaffold0000005
GCCCUGCUGACGAGUCCCAAACAGAAGGAAACAGCUGUCAAGUGC